rnacentral:rRNA from 1 species
GACGAACGCUGGCGGCGUGCCUAAUACAUGCAAGUAGAACGCUGAAGGAGGAGCUUGCUUCUCUGGAUGAGUUGCGAACGGGUGAGUAACGCGUAGGUAACCUGCCUGGUAGUGGGGGAUAACUAUUGGAAACGAUAGCUAAUACCGCAUAAUAGCAGUUGUUGCAUGAUAACUGUUUGAAAGGUGCAAUUGCACCGCUACCAGAUGGACCUGCGUUGUAUUAGCUAGUUGGUGGGGUAACGGCUCACCAAGGCGACGAUACAUAGCCGACCUGAGAGGGUGAUCGGCCACACUGGGACUGAGACACGGCCCAGACUCCUACGGGAGGCAGCAGUAGGGAAUCUUCGGCAAUAGACGGAAGUCUGACCGAGCAACGCCGCGUGAGUGAAGAAGGUUGUCGGAUCGUAAAGCUCGGUUGUAAGAGAAGAACGAGUGUGAGAGUGGAAAGUUCACACUGUGACGGUAUCUUACCAGAAAGGGACGGCUAACUACGUG